rnacentral:rRNA from 1 species
UUAAGCGAAUAAGAGCACAGGGUGGAUGCCCUGGCACCAAACGCCGAAGAAGGACGUAGCGAUCUACGAAAAGCCACGGGGAGCCGAAAGCAGGCAUUGAGCCGUGGAUGUCCGAAUGGGGAAACCCGGCGGCGGUAAUGCGCCGUCAACGGCAGCCGAAUACAUAAGCUGCGCGUGGGGAACCCGGGGAACUGAAACAUCUAAGUACCCGGAGGAAGAGAAAGAAAAACAUCGAUUUCCUAAGUAGCGGCGAGCGAACGGGAAAGAGCCCAAACCGUUGGUCUACGGAUCAGCGGGGUUGCGGGCCGGCAAAACGGACUUAAAUCUCUAGCUGAAGAGCGCUGGAAAGCGCCGCGAAAGAGGGUAAGAGCCCCGUAAGCGAAAGGGAGAUGAGCCAGGCCGGUACCAGAGUACCACAGGACACGAGGAAUCCGGUGGGAAGCUGGGUGGACCACCACCCAAGGCUAAAUACGUUUGGUGACCGAUAGAGCAUAGUACCGUGAGGGAAAGGUGAAAAGAACCCCGGGAGGGGAGUGAAAUAGAACCUGAAACCCUGUGUUUACAAACGGAGAGAGUACGAUUAAUGUACGAUCUCGUACUUUUUGUAGAACGGACCGGCGAGUUACGUUAUGCAGCAAGGUUAAGCACUCAAGGUGCGGAGCCGCAGGGAGACCGAGUCUGAAAAGGGCGAAAUAGUUGCGUGACGUAGACCCGAAACCGGGUGACCUAUCCAUGGCCAGGUUGAAGUGAAGGUAAAACUUCAUGGAGGACCGAACCAGACGUCUGUUAAAAAAGGCGGGGAUGAGCUGUGGAUAGCGGAGAAAUUCCAAUCGAACCCGGAGAUAGCUGGUUCUCCUCGAAAUAGCUUUAGGGCUAGCCUCGGGGGUGAGAUAUGCAGGUAGAGCGCUGAAUGAGCUAGGGGGCCUCAAAGCCUACCGACCUCUAUCAAACUUCGAAUGGCAUAUUAUCUAGACCUCGGGAGUCAGACAGUGGGAGAUAAGUUUCAUUGUCAAAAGGGAAACAGCCCAGAUCGCCUGCUAAGGUCCCAAAGUGAUGGUUAAGUGGAAAAGGAUGUUGAGUUGCACAGACAACCAGGAUGUUGGCUUAGAAGCAGCCACACAUUUAAAGAGUGCGUAAUAGCUCACUGGUCGAGUGAUUCAGCGCCGAAAAUGUCCGGGGCUAAAACCAUCCACCGAAGCAGCGGGUACACUGGAUUAAUAAUGAAUAUAUGAUACAGAUUGACGCGAGAGGACAAUCUUGGAAAAACGCGAAGUGGUUUCAAAUGAUUUCAUCGAAAUCAUUUCAGGUUGAUCGUGUUUUUUCAGUAAAUUUUCUCAAGGGGAUAAAACGAGAACGCGAAGAAGUGUAUUCAUUAUUAAUCCAGUGUGCGGUAGAGGAGCGUCGUUUAUUGGGUUGAAGCCAUACCGGAAGGAGUGGUGGACUAUAAACGAGAGAGAAUGCCGGUAUAAGUAACGAGAGAAGAGUGAGAAACUCUUCCGUCGAAAGCCUAAGGUUUCCUGGGGAAGGUUCGUCCGCCCAGGGUAAGUCGGGACCUAAGCCGAGGACAAGAGUCGUAGGCGAUGGACAACAGGUGGAGAUUCCUGUACCGCCGUAUAUCGUUGAAAGCGCAGUGACGCAGGAGGAUAGGACGAGCAGGGUGAUGGUAGGCCCUGUGCAAGCGUUAAGGCUGGUGGGUAGUGAAGUACGCCCACUGAAAAGGCUAAGGCGUGAUGCGGAGCGAAAUUUACAGUAGCGAAGCGUCCGAUUUCACACUGACAAGAAAAGCUGCGUGGGAGGUAUAAGGCGCCCGUACCGCAAACCGACACAGGUAGGUGAGGAGAGAAUCCUAAGACGAGCGGGAGAACCACAGUUAAGGAACUCGGCAAAAUGACCCCGUAACUUCGGGAGAAGGGGUGCCUGCGAACGCAGGCCGCAGAGAAGAGGCCCAAGCGACUGUUUAGCAAAAACACAGGUCUGUGCGAAAGCGAGAGCUUAAGUAUACGGGCUGACGCCUGCCCGGUGCUGGAAGGUUAAGGGGAAAUGUUAGGGUAACCGAAGCAUGGAACUGAAGCCCCAGUAAACGGCGGCCGUAACUAUAACGGUCCUAAGGUAGCGAAAUUCCUUGUCGGGUAAGUUCCGACCCGCACGAAUGGCGUAACGACUUGUCAACUGUGGACCCGGUGAAAUUGCAGUAUGCGUGAAGAUGCGCAUUACCCGCGACUGGACGGAAAGACCCCGUAGAGCUUUACUGCAGCUUGGCAUUGGAUUUUGGUAAUGGAUGUACAGAAUAGGUGGGAGACUGUGAAGCGAGGCCGUCAGGUUUCGUGGAGUCGCCGUUGGGAUACCACUCUUCCAUUACUGGAGUUCUAACCCCGUGCCGUUAACCGGGCGGGGGACCGUGCCAGGUGGGCAGUUUGACUGGGGCGGUCGCCUCCGAAAGAGUAACGGAGGCGCCCAAAGGUUCCCUCAGAAUGGAUGGAAACCAUUCAAAGAGUGUAAAGGCAGAAGGGAGCUUGACUGCGAGACUGACAAGUCGAGCAGGUACGAAAGUAGGGCUUAGUGAUCCGGCGGUUUUAGAGUGGAAUAGCCGUCGCUCAACGGAUAAAAGCUACCUCGGGGAUAACAGGCUGAUCUCCCCCAAGAGUCCACAUCGACGGGGAGGUUUGGCACCUCGAUGUCGGCU